CAGUCGCCGCGGUAAUACGAAGGGUGCAAGCGUUAAUCGGAAUUACUGGGCGUAAAGCGUGCGUAGGCGGUUUGUUAAGUCUGUUGUGAAAUCCCCGGGCUCAACCUGGGAAUGGCAAUGGAUACUGGCAAGCUAGAGUGUGUCAGAGGAUGGUGGAAUUCCCGGUGUAGCGGUGAAAUGCGUAGAGAUCGGGAGGAGCAUCAGUGGCGAAGGCGGCCAUCUGGGACAACACUGACGCUGAGGCACGAAAGCGUGGGGAGCAAACAGGAUUAGAUACCCCCGUAGUCCUGUCUCUUAUACC
rnacentral:rRNA from 1 species